AAAUAACCUUUCAGAAAAACAAAGAGAGAGGUAAAAAAGACUGGCGAGAACGACUCUAUUUGAACACCACUUCUUUCUUUCUUUUUUGUUUUUUUCUCUUUUGAUUUUUUCCUAUAUCUUUUUAUGGUCUUUUUAUUUUUUC
rnacentral:ribozyme from 13 species